AACGAACGCUGGCGGCAUGCCUAACACAUGCAAGUCGAACGAGACCUUCGGGUCUAGUGGCGCACGGGUGCGUAACACGUGGGAACCUGCCCUUAGGUUCGGCAUAACUCCCCGAAAGGGGUGCUAAUACCGGAUAAUGUCUUCGGACCAAAGAUUUAUCGCCUUUGGAUGGGCCCGCGUUGGAUUAGCUAGUUGGUAGGGUAAAAGCCUACCAAGGCGACGAUCCAUAGCUGGUCUGAGAGGAUGAUCAGCCACACUGGGACUGAGACACGGCCCAGACUCCUACGGGAGGCAGCAGUGGGGAAUAUUGGACAAUGGGCGAAAGCCUGAUCCAGCAAUGCCGCGUGAGUGAUGAAGGCCUUAGGGUUGUAAAGCUCUUUUAACCGGGAUGAUAAUGACAGUACCGGGAGAAUAAGCCCCGGCUAACUCCGUG
rnacentral:rRNA from 1 species